rnacentral:rRNA from 1 species
GGCUACACACGUGCUACAAUGGGUAGAACAGAGAGUCGCAAAGCUGUGAAGUGGAGCUAAUCUCAGAAAACUAUUCUUAGUUCGGAUUGUACUCUGCAACUCGAGUACAUGAAGUUGGAAUCGCUAGUAAUCGCGAAUCAGCAAUGUCGCGGUGAAUACGUUCUCGGGUCUUGUACACACCGCCCGUCACACCACGAGAGUUGGUUGCACCUGAAGUAGCAGGCCUAACCGUAAGGAGGGAUGCUCCGAGGGUGUGAUUAGCGAUUGGGGUGAAGUCGUAACAAGGUAUCCGUACGGGAACGU